AGUUUACAUCCAAACAGCAGCUCUGGGAGGCUAUUCUGACAUCUUGCAAACAAAUUCAAGCAGAAACUGUCCAAAAAAUCACAAGUUCAAUGGAUGCAAGACUUGUGAAGCUGCUAUCAAAUAAGGGGUCCUAUGUUAAAAUGUAACGUGACCUGUUAAAAUGUUAAAAAAGUUAAAAUGUUGUAAUAAGUUUGAUGGAAAUAGCUUUUGAUUUCAGUAAAUAUGCUUCAAACACAACAAAUGACAGUUUUCAGUUCUUUACAACCUAUAAAGUGUUUUGAAACUUACUGUGCGUAA